UUUAUAAUUUAGUAAAAUUAUUUUUUUUAUUUUGUUUAAAUAGAGUUUUCUGACAAAGUAAAAAAAACCUUGAUGCAAUAAUCAAAUUUAUGUGGCACUUUUAUGCAUUGAAAUCCUUAAAACGGGUCAAUGCUGACCCUAACACAAGAGGAAGGAUAGACAAUCUUAAUCUUUCUUGUCUCUUUGAAUUUUAAAUCACUCUGCAUUUAUAUACAUUGCUCCAUUAAAACCUCAACAUGUGGUGAACACAACUCUCCACUAAAAAAGUGAGGGGGACGAAUUUACUUUUUAUAAAAAGUGCGGGGGACAUGUCCUAUUUGUGCUAUUUCUGUCAACAUUUAAUAAUGUUAUCCAGUGUUAUAAGUUUCCAGUUACGAUUGUAUUUUGCUGGCAUAAGUUUUUUUUUCUGUUGGUUCAUAUUAAUGUCGCUAACGCUAGCAUAUGUCUCAGGUGAUUUUUUCGUCUGUUUAUAUAAGUGUGUAUGCAUGUACAUAUGCUUGUCGCUAACGCUAACAUACAGUACAGACCAAAAGUUUGGACACACCUUCCAAAAGUUUGGACACACCCCCUGUUCAACAGGACAAUGACCCCAAACACAACUCCAGGCUGUGUAAGGGCUAUUUGACCAUGAAGGAGAGUGAUGGGGUGCUGCACCAGAUGACCUGGCCUCCACAGUCACCGGACCUGAACCCAAUCGAGAUGGUUUGGGGUGGGCUGGACCGCAGAAUGAAGGCAAAAGGGCCAACAAGUGCUAUUUCAGGCUAUUUCAAGACCAUUUCAGCAAGUUGAAGAUAAGAGAGAUGCUGUGAUUCAGUGCCUGCUUUCCUACCUGGGAGAAUCAUCUGAGGAGCUCAUUGAAGCCUACCAGGAUGUCAGAAGAGACAUUAUUGAAGAUAGCUUCACCAAUCAUGUAAUGAAGAUCAUUGUACUGGGCAGCACCACAGGAGAGGAAGAUGCUAACAUAGCUGACGUAAUCAUCGUCAUUGAGGGAACUGAGGUACUGUCGGGAUGCAAGAAUCUCACAAAUGCCUGCCUUCUGCUCAUGGGCUUCAUUUACUCCCUGAACUUAAGCUAUACUUCAAAGCUAAGAAACACAUUUGAAGUGUUUCAGAAAGUAUUUCUUGGACUGGAUGCUUUGAAAUUUUCUCCAAAAGUUAGCUCUUUGCAGAGAAAGCUAUUAAUGAAAGUCUGCUAGCUGGCCAUUUUGUUUGGCACUCAAACUUUGUUUAUUUGCUCAAUGUUUUGCAAGUGAGUACUCCGGGUACUCCGGUUUCCUCCCCCGGUCCAAAGACAUGCAUGGUAGGUUGAUUGGCAUGUCUGGAAAAUUGUCCGGAGUCUGAGAGUGAAUGAGAGUGUGUGUGUGCCCUGCGAUGGGUUGGCACUCCGUCCAGGGUGUAUGCUGCCUCGAUGCCCGAUGACGCCUGAGAUAGGCACAGGCUCCCCGUGAACCGAGAAGUUUGGAUAAGCGGUAGAAAAUGAAUGAAUGAAAAGUUUGAAGCCAACUUUUCAUUUGGUUCAUUUUGAUGGUGGGAAUUGAACAAAGAACUGCAAAGCGUUACACGGACCAGGGCGGGAACAGCUUCGUCCGAAUUCGCCCUUAUCUCAAUGCAAACGUGCCAACGCGAUGCAUGGUUAUAUACUGUACCUCUGAAAUAAACAAAUUAACCACUAGUACAUUCAUUCAAUGGAGGCACACUGAUUUUGGGCGGACAAUUGCGUGCACACUCGUUCCUCCUUUCAUACAAUAACUUACUUGUACAAACUGGACUUUCAUUAGUAUUCAAGUAACACGUUUCUAAUUGUUGAAGCUAAAUUCGUAGCAAUUCAGGAAUUCAAUUUAAAACAGUUUCUUUCUUGACCACAAACACAUUAACACAAAUAAACGAAUGUAUGUUAAAACGACAAAUCUUAACUCU